GCUUACGGUCUGACCCAAAGCCCAUUGAAGUCAGUGGGAAUCUUUUCAUUGAUUUCAGUAGGCUUUGGGUCAGGCCCCUAAAGC
rnacentral:pre_miRNA from 1 species